GGUGACGCUGCGAGUGUAGCUGACGGCCUGGCUGCCCCGGUGCUCAUUGACCACAGUGACCGUGAAGUUCUCGACACCCUUGGGUGGUGCAGAGCAAGGCGCACUCAGCAGGCCUAGGUGAAGAGAGAGCCCUCAGCUCCUAACUGGCUGGCAGGACCCCUCUUCCCAGCUACGGGGCUCAAGAGACCAUCCUGCAGGACUUACCCGGACUUUGCCGAUCUCGCCUUUGUGGAUGGAGAUGUUGACGCUGAGGGCAGACACGGUGACGAGCCUCACAAAGGACACAGCAGGGUUGCCCCGGUUCUCAUUCUUGGUGGUGACGGUGAAGGGGGUCAGGCCCUGGGCGCUGACCCCCGGGCAGCCGGCGGCCGCCAGCACAUAGUCGCAGGUGCCCUGGAAGUCGAAGUCCCAGCCGUCGAAGGAGUGGUAGUGCGGAUCGCCCCACAGCCAGCACGUGGCCUCGUAGGUGGGUACACACACACCCUGCCCAUCCUUCUCCUGGCACGUCUCCUGUGGCCGACAGGUCACACCGUGACACGGGUCUGGAGACAGGGAGAGAGGAACUUGUGGGGCUGCCCAGCACAGGCCGGCUGCUCCCCAGCCUCAGCCCCGGUCUGCCCCAGGGAUUCUGCCCUCGGGCUAAGGGCUCCUGCAGGUGAGGACAGACACCAGGGGCUUCCCAUCUGAGACCAAGCCCUGGGGGUCCCCCAUGUUUGAAAUCCAGGCCCUGUGGUGGACUGUGUCUAAGACCCCAUCAAAGGCUCCCACAUCCAAGGCCAAGGCCCUGCAGUUUGCUGUCUGAGACCCACGCCCCGAGUACCUGACUGCCAAGGCCUAGACUCUAGGGUCCCUACAUCAGAACCCAGCCCCAGGGGUCCCAGUAUCUGUGAUGCCAGCCCUCAGGGCAUCCAUGAGGGCAUCCACAGCCCCAGAGUUUUCUAUGUUCGAGACCUGGGUCCCUAUUAUCCUGUCCAGUGGCACCAAGGGUCUCAGUUCUGGAGGCCUCAUUCUUUUAUCUAUUUAUCUAUUUUUAUCUAUUUAUCUAUUUAUAAGGAGUUAUUCUCUGUCCUUCACCCUAAGAAACCAGUCCGGGGGGGGGGGGCAGCUCUGUGACUUAGACUUAAUCUGGGGGGGCCCCAUGUCUGAGAUUGUUUCCCUAUAAAUCCCGAUCCUCUUCUGGGGGGGGGGGUCCUGUAUCUAAGACCCCAGCCUUCGUGGGGUCUCUACCUGAGACCUCAGGACUAUGCUUUCUGUCUCUGUCCCUGGGGGUCCCAAUUUCCCCUACCUUGAAGGGGAGAUGGUGUUAGAAGCCCUGAGCCUAAUCCUGCAUACCAGUGGUCAGUAAACUAUGGCAUAGCUAGCUGCCUGUUUUUAUAAAUACCAGAGGGUUUUAUUGGAGCCUCACCCCCUCACUUACAUAGCCUAUGGCUGAUUUCAUGCCACAGUGGCAGAGUUGAGUAGUUAUGACCGAGACUAUAAGGCCUGCAAGUUCAAAUAUUUACCAUCUGUCCCUUUAGGGGAAAAGUUUGCCUGUCCUUGCCUUAUGCCAAGGGUCUCUGACAUCUGCCCUAGGGAACCUAGCCCUGAGGGUCCCCAAAGCCUGCAUUUUACCAUAAGGUAGAACUCCACCUCCCAGCCUGGAGGGCCUGUGCCCCUAGCCCUGGGAAUCCCAGCCCCGGGGUCCCCAGAUUGGAGACCUCAAUUCUUAGUCCUUUGUGCCACCCACUGUGAAAAUCUAGGUUCACACCUCCCACUGCUCCAGAGUCCCCAUCCUCUGUUCCCAGCCCCACGGGGCCCAGCCCCAGCCCAGCACCUUUGGUGACGCAGCUCAGGACACCUCCUGAGGGCUCGCACACCUGCCCUGGCUUGCAGCUGUGGGCCUGGCAUUCCAGGCCUUUUCCGGCAUGGCACACACACUGUUGCUGGCACCUGUCGAUGAGGACCACCUGGUUCGGCUGUGAGGACAGAGGACACGGCCAUCAGGGUGGGAGCUGAACUGGCAUCUCCAGUGUCCCGGGGACAGAGGGUCCAGAGGACAUCAAGGGAACAUCUUUCAGCAGAGUGGCCCCUUGUCUGUGCAACUAGGGCACCACAUGGCCUUGGGGUCCAAUUCAUUCAUUCAUUCACUCACUCACUCACUCACUCACUCACUCACUCACUCACUCGUUUUUCCAAAAUAUCCACUUAAUGUCUGCUGUAUGUGAGAAACGGUGUAACAUGAAUUAAGAGCAAAGGCCCUGGAGCAAAUUGCCUGGGUCUGAAGCCUCAUUCUGCUAUUUCCAAAUUGUAUCACUGUGCAAAUUUCUUAACCUUUUAUGCCUCCGUUUCUUCAUCUGUAAGCAGUCGAUAAUCAUAGCACCUAACUAUGGUAGUAUGACUUGGUUAAUAAUACGUAUAAGGUACAGGGGAAAUGAAAAGGGAGUUCCUUUAUUAUUUUUUUUUUUUUUACUUUGAGAGAGAGAGAGUGUGUGAGCAGGGGAGUGGGGCAGAGGGAAAAAGAGAAUCUCAAGCAGGCCGCAUGCUCAGCAUGGAGCCUGACGCAGGGCUGAAUACCACAACCCUGAGAUCCUGACCGGGGCUGAAAUCAAGAGUCAGAUGCUCAACCAACUGAGCCACGCUGGUGCCCUGGGAAUUCCUUUAAAUAAUCCAGAUUAGAGAGGAAACGGGGAUAAGAGACAAAACAAGAUCAGGAAAAUGUGGUUAUCGCUAAAGCUGAGUGAGGGGUACAUGGAGAUUUACACUGUUCUCUUAACGUUUGCAUGUUUGAAAAUUUUCCUAAUAAGUAAAAAGUUCAUAUGUAUGUGUAAUGCA